rnacentral:rRNA from 1 species
UACGAAGGGGACUAGCGUUGUUCGGAAUUACUGGGCGUAAAGCGCACGUAGGCGGAUUUAUAAGUCAGGGGUGAAAUCCCCGGGCUCAACCUGGGAACUGCAUCCGAAACUGCCUUGCUCGAGUAUGGGAGAGGGAAGUGGAAUUUCCGGUGUAGCGGUGAAAUGCGUAGAUAUCGGAAGGAACAUCAGUGGCGAAGGCGACUUCCUGGACCAAUACUGACGCUCAGGUGCGAAAGCGUGGGGAGCAAACAGG